rnacentral:rRNA from 1 species
UACGGGGGGAGCAAGCGUUGUUCGGAUUUACUGGGCGUAAAGGGCGCGUAGGCGGCCACUGCAAGUCAGUUGUGAAAUCUCCGGGCUUCGACCCGGAAAGGUCAACUGAUACUGCAGGGCUAGAGUGCAGAAGGGGCAAGCUGGAAUUCUCGGUGUAGCGGUGAAAUGCGUAGAUAUCGAGAGGAACACCUGCGGCGAAGGCGGGUUGCUGGGCUGACACUGACGCUGAGGCGCGAAAGCCAGGGGAGGCGAACGGG